rnacentral:rRNA from 1 species
UACGUAGGGUGCAAGCGUUGUCCGGAAUUAUUGGGCGUAAAGAGCUCGUAGGCGGUUCGUCGCGUCGGCUGUGAAAACCCGAGGCUCAACCUCGGGCCUGCAGUCGAUACGGGCGGACUGGAGUUCGGCAGGGGAGACUGGAAUUCCUGGUGUAGCGGUGAAAUGCGCAGAUAUCAGGAGGAACACCGGUGGCGAAGGCGGGUCUCUGGGGCCGAUACUGACGCUGAGGAGCGAAAGCGUGGGGGAGCGAACAGG